rnacentral:rRNA from 1 species
GACGAACGCUGGCGGCGCGCUUAACACAUGCAAGUCGAGCGAGAACCUGGCUUCGGCCAGGGGAAAGCGGCGAACGGGUGAGUAACACGUGGGCAACCCACCCUUGGUAUCCGGAUAGCCCGGGGAAACCCGGAUUAAUACGGAAUGGCCCAGCAGCUCUCCGGGGCGGCUGGGAAAGGUAGCUUCGGCCUCCGACCAAGGACGGGCCCGCGGCGGAUUAGCUUGUUGGUGAGGUAACGGCUCACCAAGGCGACGAUCCGUAGCUGGUCUGAGAGGA